GCUGAUCUCCAGUAUAAGCACAGCCAUGCUCUCUGCCUAGCUAUGGAGCUGCUUGAUCUGGACCUCAACCUAUAAACUGGCUUAUUUUUGUCCCUGCUUUGUCACCGUGGACCUGCCUGGUGAUCACUGGACCUGAUCCUAUCCCUGACCUACAGGACUGAAUGACGAAAUGUGAGAAUCUCAGACAUCUCUCCUCAACUUAAUAUUGUGCAGACCCUUCUGGAUGGGCUUGGGACGUCCCUG
rnacentral:lncRNA from 1 species